UACGUAGGGCGCAAGCGUUAUCCGGAAUUAUUGGGCGUAAAGAGCGUGUAGGCGGCCAGGUAGGUCUGCUGUGAAAACUCGAGGCUCAACCUCGAGACGUCGGCGGAAACCAUCUGGCUAGAGUCCGGAAGAGGAGAGUGGAAUUCCUGGUGUAGCGGUGAAAUGCGCAGAUAUCAGGAAGAACACCCGUGGCGAAGGCGGCUCUCUGGGACGGUACUGACGCUGAGACGCGAAAGCGUGGGGGAGCGAACAGG
rnacentral:rRNA from 1 species